rnacentral:rRNA from 3 species
GAGAAGAGCUUGCUCUUCGAUUCAGCGGCGGACGGGUGAGUAAUGCCUAGGAAUCUGCCUGGUAGUGGGGGACAACGUUUCGAAAGGAACGCUAAUACCGCAUACGUCCUACGGGAGAAAGCAGGGGACCUUCGGGCCUUGCGCUAUCAGAUGAGCCUAGGUCGGAUUAGCUAGUUGGUGAGGUAAUGGCUCACCAAGGCGACGAUCCGUAACUGGUCUGAGAGGAUGAUCAGUCACACUGGAACUGAGACACGGUCCAGACUCCUACGGGAGGCAGCAGUGGGGAAUAUUGGACAAUGGGCGAAAGCCUGAUCCAGCCAUGCCGCGUGUGUGAAGAAGGUCUUCGGAUUGUAAAGCACUUUAAGUUGGGAGGAAGGGCAUUAACCUAAUACGUUAGUGUUUUGACGUUACCGACAGAAUAAGCACCGGCUAACUCUGUGCCAGCAGCCGCGGUAAUACAGAGGGUGCAAGCGUUAAUCGGAAUUACUGGGCGUAAAGCGCGCGUAGGUGGUUUGUUAAGUUGAAUGUGAAAG